UGGGGAAUAUUGCACAAUGGGCGCAAGCCUGAUGCAGCCAUGCCGCGUGUAUGAAGAAGGCCUUCGGGUUGUAAAGUACUUUCAGCGGGGAGGAAGGGAGUAAAGUUAAUACCUUUGCUCAUUGACGUUACCCGCAGAAGAAGCACCGGCUAACUCCGUGCCAGCAGCCGCGGUAAUACGGAGGGUGCAAGCGUUAAUCGGAAUUACUGGGCGUAAAGCGCACGCAGGCGGUUUGUUAAGUCAGAUGUGAAAUCCUCGGGCUCAACCUGGGAACUGCAUCUGAUACUGGCAAGCUUGAGUAUCGUAGAGGAGGGUAGAAUUCCAGGUGUAGCGGUGAAAUGCGUAGAGAUCUGGAGGAAUACCGGUGGCGAAGGCGGCCCCCUGGACGAAGACUGACGCUCAGGUGCGAAAGCGUGGGGGGCAAACAGG
rnacentral:rRNA from 1 species